AACUCGGUAGCACAUGGUGUGCACCUGCUUCAUGUAAACAACAUCGUCGAAAACGCUCAUAUGCAGGAGUUCCCGGUUCGAUUCCGGGUCGAGUUA